rnacentral:rRNA from 1 species
AGAUUGAACGCUGGCGGAAUGCUUUACACAUGCAAGUCGAACGGCAGCACGGGACUCAGGCAACUGAGCCCUGGUGGCGAGUGGCGAACGGGUGAGUAACAUAUCGGAACGUACCCAGUCGUGGGGGAUAACUCUCCGAAAGGAGAGCUAAUACCGCAUACGUCCUGAGGGAGAAAGCGGGGGACCUAAGGGUAACUGAGGGCCUCGCGCGAUUGGAGCGGCCGAUAUCGGAUUAGCUAGUUGGUGAGGUAAAGGCUCACCAAGGCGACGAUCCGUAGCGGGUCUGAGAGGACGACCCGCCACACUGGAACUGAGACACGGUCCAGACUCCUACGGGAGGCAGCAGUGGGAAUUUGGACAAGUGGGGGCAACCCGUGAUCCAGCCAUUCCGCGUGAGUGAAGAAGGUCCGUUGGUUGUAAGCUCUUUCGAGUCGAGAACGAAACGGUAGGUACGUUAAGUACGGUACCUUAGUUAAU